rnacentral:rRNA from 1 species
UACAGAGGGUGCGAGCGUUGUCCGGAAUCACUGGGCGUAAAGGGCGCGUAGGUGGCGCUCCAAGUCCGUGGUGAAAGCUCGAUGCUCAACAUCGAGUCGGCCACGGAGACUGGAGGGCUCGAGCACUGUAGGGGCAGAUGGAAUUCCGGGUGUAGCGGUGGAAUGCGUAGAGAUCCGGAAAGAACACCGGUGGCGAAGGCGGCCCCCCUGGUUGGAUACUGACGCCUGAGACGCGAAAGCGUGGGGAGCAAACAGG